rnacentral:rRNA from 1 species
CAGCCGCCGCGGUAAGACGAACCGUGCGAACGUUAUUCGGAAUCACUGGGCUUAAAGCGUGUGUAGGCGGGAGGGCACGUCCGUCGCUGAAAUCCCCCGGCUCAACCGGGGAACGGGCGCGGAUACGACUCUUCUGGAGGAACGUAGGGGGACCUGGAACUUCCGGUGGAGAGGUGAAAUUCGUAGAUAUUCGCAGGAACACCAGUGGCGAAGGCGGCUAACUGGUCCGUAACUGACGCUGAGGUGCGAAAGCGUGGGGAGCAAACAGGACUAGAUACCCGUGUAGUCCCUGUCUCUUAUA